rnacentral:piRNA from 1 species
UCGUCCGAAUAUCGUCUUAUU